rnacentral:rRNA from 1 species
UACGGAAGGCAGCGGUGGGGAAUAUUGCACAAUGGGCGAAAGCCUGAUGCAGCUAUGCCGCGUGUAUGAAGAAGGCCUUAGGGUUGUAAAGUACUUUCAUCGGGGAGGAAAAAACAAAACUAAUAAUUUUAUUUCUUGACGUUACCCGAAAAAGAAGCACCGGCUAACUCCGUGCCAGCAGCCGCGGUAAUACGGAGGGUGCUAGCGUUAAUCAGAAUUACUGGGCGUAAAGAGCACGUAGGUGGUUUUUUUAAGUCAGAUGUGAAAUCCCUGGGCUUAACCUAGGAACUGCAUUUUGAAACUGAAAUACUAGAGUAUCGUAGAGGGAGGUAGAAUUCUAGGUGUAGCGGUGAAAUGCGUAGAUAUCUGGAGGAAUACCUGUGGCGAAAGCGGCCUCCUAAACGAAUACUGACACUGAGGUGCGAAAGCGUGGGGAGCAAACAGGGAUUAGAUACC